AAAAUAAGAAGUAAAAAAAAUUACAUUUAGUUUCGACCUAAACCCAUGAAUAUAAAAUUCCUUAUUU
rnacentral:tRNA from 1 species